AUAUAUCAUAUAUAUAUGUCAAAGUUUGAAGACCACUCUUCAGUUGUUUAAAUUGAGAAGGUAGUUUGAUCCCAGGAGCUCAAGGUUACAGUGAGCUAUGAUUGUACCACUGCACUCCAGCCUGUGUGACAGAGAGAGACCCUGUCUCUUAAAAAAAAUAAUUAAUGAAAGCAUAAACUUGAAUUCUUAUGGUACUACAUUGCAAAUUACCAUAUCUCACAGACCAAAAAUUAACAGCCCUCUAAAAGAUGAAGCAUUUUCUUUCUAUGUGAGCGUUCCUGUAUCUGGAAUCUCAUCCUUCACAUAUGCCUUUGUUUGCAGUGUUUUCUGAAGAUCAAACCCAUGUCUCUCACAUUUUCUCAAGCAAGUGAUAUCUGUAACUCAUAUGGUGGUACCCUUCCUUCAGUGUUGAGCCAGACUGAACAAGAUUUUAUUACAUCCUUGCUUCCGGAAAUGGAAGCUACUUUAUGGAUUGGUUUGCGCUGGACUGCCUAUGAAAGGAUAAACAAAUGGACAGAUAACAGAGAGCUGACAUACAGUAACUUUCACCCAUUACUGGUUAGUAGGAGGCUGAGAUUACCAGAAAACGUAAGUUUUUUUUUUUAAUCAGUAUUCUUCAUACCUCUGUGAAAUAUUUGUCUUUCAUACAUAAGAGCAAAGGCCUACUGUAUUCCGUUUACAUGAAAUGUGUAGAAUAGGCACAUCUAAGAUAGUAAGUGGGUUAUUGGUUGCUAGAGGCUAAGAAGGAUGGAGGGAUUGGGAGUAGUAACUAAAGGGGAUGGAGUCUUCUUUUGUGGGAUGACAAAGAUGUUCUAAGAUUUAUGGGGUGAUGGUUGUGUAACUCUGUGAAUAUACUAAAAACUAUUGAAUAGUUACUUUAAAUGAGCAAAUUGUCUCAUAUAUGAAUUAUAGCUCAGUAAAGCUAUUA